GCCAAGCCAGUAUGGUGAAUAUGACCCUCGGCUUGUAACCGAGAGGGUUCGGGUUUGAAUCCCGAGUAAAGGCA
rnacentral:tRNA from 1 species